UACAGAGGGGGCAAGCGUUGUUCGGAAUUACUGGGCGUAAAGGGCGCGUAGGCGGCCACCGCAAGUCGGUUGUGAAAUCUCUGGGCUUAACCCAGAAAGGUCAACCGAUACUGCGGGGCUAGAGUGCAGAAGGGGCAACUGGAAUUCUCGGUGUAGCGGUGAAAUGCGUAGAUAUCGAGAGGAACACCUGCGGCGAAGGCGGGUUGCUGGGCUGACACUGACGCUGAUGCGCGAAAGCUAGGGGAGCGAACGGG
rnacentral:rRNA from 1 species